CAGCCCUCGAGCGCGGCCAUUCGCCGCGUUCUGCCCUCUCCCCCCUUUCCUCACGCUGGUGGUGGCCCUUUCCUCAGUCCUGCUGAUGUCCUCCAGCUGAUUCCAGGCUGUUCCCGGCCACCCCUGAGGCCGUCCUUUCGCUUCUUGAGCUGACUAAGGCUUUGGAACAGAAACCAGAUGAUGCACAUAUAUUAUCGUCAAAGAGCUUAUUGUCACAUUCUUCUUGGGAAUUACUGUGUUGCUGUUGCUG
rnacentral:lncRNA from 1 species